UACGAGGGGGGGCAAAUGUUGUUCGGAAUCACUGGGCGUAAAGGGAGCGUAGGCGGGCUUCUAAGUUAGAUGUUUAAUCCCGGGGCCCAACCCCGGACAGGCACCUAAAACUGGAAGUCUUGAAUAGUGGAGAGGACGGCGGAAUUGGGGGUGUAGCGGUGGAAUGCGUAGAGAUCCCCAAGAACACCAGUUGCGAAGGCGGCCGUCUGGACACAUAUUGACGCUGAGGCUCGAAAGCAUGGGGAGCAAACAGG
rnacentral:rRNA from 1 species